rnacentral:rRNA from 1 species
AUUGAACGCUGGCGGCAGGCCUAACACAUGCAAGUCGAACGAUUGGCGGACGUGUGAGUAAUGUCUGGGAAACUGCCCGAUGGAGGGGGAUAACUCCUGGAAACGGUAGCUAAUACCGCAUACCAUCGGAUGUGCCCAGAUGGGAUUAGCUAGUAGGUGGGGUGAUGGCUCACCUAGGCGACGAUCCCUAGCUGGUCUGGGAGGAUGACAAGCCACACUGGAACUGGGACACGGUCCAGAAUCCUACGGGAGGCAGAAGGGGGGAAUAUUGCACAAUGGGCGCAAGCCUGAUGAAGCCAUGCGGCGUGUAUGAAGAAGGCCUUCGGGUUGUAAAGUACUUUCAGCGAGGAGGCGUUACUCGCAGAAGAAGCACCGGCUAACUCCGUGCCAGCCGCCGCGGUAAUAC